UACAGAGGUCCCAAGCGUUGUUCGGAUUCACUGGGCGUAAAGGGUGCGUAGGUGGUGAGGUAAGUCGGAUGUGAAAGCUCGGAGCUCAACUCCGAAAUGGCAUUGGAAACUACCUUGCUCGAGGGUUGGAGGGGGGACUGGAAUGCUUGGUGUAGCAGUGAAAUGCGUAGAUAUCAAGCGGAACACCAGUGGCGAAGGCGACUCACUGGACAUGUAUUGACGCUGAGGUGCGAAAGCGUGGGGAGCAAACAGG
rnacentral:rRNA from 1 species